rnacentral:tRNA from 1 species
CGGGGUGUGGCGCAGUCAGGUAGCGCACAUGGUUUGGGACCAUGGGGGCGCAGGUUCAAAUCCUGCCACCCCGACCA